ensembl:lncRNA
CGUGGUUAUAGGGCUGAGAGUAUCCACUGGCCAGACCUUAGUGGUUCACAGGGCAACUUUAUGCUCCUGGGGAGGGUUCUGACUCAGACAUAGCUUGACUGAGCCCAGGCUUUUGAGCCCUGAAAAUGCCAGGCUGGCGAUAUUCAGCACAAUCCUCCCUGGAGAUGCUGGGCAGUGGCAGUGACUUGCAGCUCCCAGCCAGUCAUGUUUACUCAGCCACAAUUCCAUGGUAAGGUGAAGAAUAUCCACAGUGAUGAAUGACCGAAAGAUGAAUGAGAUGCUAAAAGAAGUACCCACCCACUAUGGCACUGGAGGGAAGGUCCCAAUCUCAACUAUCAAGACACCUUGUGCCUAGGAUUGGAAGCAGACACAUAGAAAUCCACCAAACCCCAUCUAGAUUCUGAGCCCCACCCUUUCUGGAUGGUUUCCAAGGAUUUUGACUCAAGAAUUUUGAAUCAAAACUUCUAUCUUUGCUUAAUAAGCUUAGUAGGUUUUCCCAACUUCAGCUACACAAGAAAAUUUAAAUUUAUGUAUCAGUGACUGGGCCUCACCUAAAUCAAGGGAAUCAGCAUCUCUUAGUAAGGCUAUAGGCCUAGACAAGGAUAAACCUCUGGGUGAUUUUUCUGUGCAUACAGCAUUGAAACCAUACUUCACUGGUCAAUUAUCAACUUUUACAGCUUUAAACAAAUGUAAGGGAAGAUAUACUUAUUACAGAACUGACUGCAUGAUUAAGAGGAUAAAUAGGAUUUAGAAAAUAAAGAAGCAGUCACCAAAGACAAAACAUCAGUAAGGGUGAAAGCAGUAGUCACCAAUGAAAUUGCGGUGCCAGGUAUUGUCUAUUGGUGCUGGCACCAAUUUCCAAGCUCUCCUAUUGUCUUCCUUGUCUGAAGAGAAGGAAGAUUAAAACUCUAUGUCCCAGUCUUCUUUGUAGAUACAGUCCCAGUAGUGUUUUAGAUUCAGUUAACAUGAUCCACUCCUGCUACAUUUGGAAGAUGGAAGGAUUUCUGCAGGUACAGGGAGAGGAGGCACCAGCAGAGCUGCAUCAUGAGCACAGUGACCUUGUAAUCUAUAAAUGGACAUGGUGAAGAUGCAAAAUGGAAUGAGUCUGGGGUCCUGAAUCACUGCUUGGAAUAGAGGCAUCUUGGAAGAGGUUUCUCCCAUCACAGUGGCACCAAACAAAAUGACAACUGGAUAUAAAGGGGAGACAAAAGGUGUUGGGAAUGAGUGAGAUGUUAAAAGAAACAAGGACACAGUGUUAAAUCAGUGGACCCUGAUCAGUUUAGGGAGAAAAAACUUGCUGUUGGGAUAAGCCACCAAGAGAAUCACCUUUAUCUAACAGCACUUAGCAGAAUAACAGUUAAAAGAAGUUGUUUCUGUUCUUACACUGAACCGUAACUGAAAUAGUCACCAAAGUAAGAAUAAAUCACCAGUAAAAUUGAUGCAGAAAGCAUUAUUAGGGACUGAGAAUAUAGCAUGUGCAAAGUCUUGUGUUCAAUUCCUAUUACCACAAAAAAAAAUUUUUGUCACAAGUGAAAAAGAACACAUGAGUUGGCAGAAUCCAACUUUAAAAAAAAAGAGAGAUUUAGUAUCUAUGUGGGACAACAAAUGUGUUAAUUAGCUCAGUAGUGUCAAUCAUUUCACAAUGGAUAUGUAAUAAAAGUUUUGCACUUUGAAGACAUACAUUUUUUACUUGUUGUUUUCAAAAACACUGAAGAAAAAAGAUAUUUGAGAGACCCUGCAUCAUAAUAAAUUCUCUGGGCAAAGGUACAGGAACGAAAUUCUUUUGGUGGCAGAUAAACU